UGUGGCGCAUGCCACGCUUUUGAAAGAUGGUUUCGGCUAUCGCUUACAGAUGGGCCCGCGGUGCAUUAGCUAGUUGGUAGGGUAAUGGCCUACCAAGGCAACGAUGCAUAGCCGACCUGAGAGGGUGAUCGGCCACACUGGGACUGAGACACGGCCCAGACUCCUACGGGAGGCAGCAGUAGGGAAUCUUCCGCAAUGGACGAAAGUCUGACGGAGCAACGCCGCGUGUAUGAAGAAGGUUUUCGGAUCGUAAAGUACUGUUGUUAGAGAAGAACAAGGAUAAGAGUAACUGCUUGUCCCUUGACGGUAUCUAACCAGAAAGCCACGGCUAACUACGUGCCAGCAGCCGCGGUAAUACGUAGGUGGCAAGCGUUGUCCGGAUUUAUUGGGCGUAAAGCGCGCGCAGGCGGUCUUUUAAGUCUGAUGUGAAAGCCCCCGGCUUAACCGGGGAGGGUCAUUGGAAACUGGAAGACUGGAGUGCAGAAGAGGAGAGUGGAAUUCCACGUGUAGCGGUGAAAUGCGUAGAUAUGUGGAGGAACACCAGUGGCGAAGGCGACUCUCUGGUCUGUAACUGACGCUGAGGCGCGAAAGCG
rnacentral:rRNA from 1 species